AAUAGAUGAAAAUAUAUAAAAGCACUAAUUUUUACACCUCUCCUUGCUUGCCUAGUUCCUGAAGUCUUAUCUCAUCUUCUUCAAAGAGAAUCAAAACUUUGGCAAAAAGUUUUCAAGCAGCUACCUAUGAGUUGAUAGCUUUACAAGACUGAUAAAAACAUCAAUUUUCUAGGCUCCUUCAAAUUCUAACAGCCGCACUUUGUACCUGUCCCGUGAGAAGUCUCCUAGAAAAAACUCCCCCUAUUUCCCAAAUUUCUUCAGAGGUAAAUGCAUUACUUGAAAAAUAUCACAGAUAAAGGAGUCAAUUAUUGGUUUGAUAUUUUGAAGGAAACGUAACUAAGAAAGUAACAUUUGAAAACGUCCUCAAACUAAGACCAGUUAAAUUUUGUUUGAGGUUAAAUAUCUUCAGAAAUGCCUAUUCAGGCAGAAUUAUUGUAAAUCAAAAAACCUAUAUUUUUAAAAUUUUAUAUGGGUUUGUGUUGGUAGCCGAGUGCUAGAAAUAAUGCAAAAAAAUGUUUUCAAAAAAACACUUACAUUUUAUUAAUAAAGUACCUAAGCUUUUCGAGGCGGACGCCUCAUCGUCAGGGUAACAACAAAAUUAAUAUCACAAAGGCCGUUGCCAUACUUUAAAUUUCAAACUGGGUAACAAGUGAUAACGAGCUAUUAGAUCAGUCUUACUAAUCAAAACAAAGUCAAGUAGUAUCAAGUUAGUAUCUGUUUUUCAUCAGAGAUGGCAGCACAUUUUAGGUACAGGGGAUUAGUUGCCAGGUCUACUUCUUUUUGUACAUUUAAUAAUUCUUCCCCUCUUUUUACUGCCUUAGUUAUUUCAUAUUUCUCUAGGACGCUAAGCAUUUUACUGUCCCUGUUUUUGUGUAGAAUUUUAAUUUCUUUUAUCUGAUGUUUUUCUGUUUUGAUGUGCUUAAAUACGUUCGAGGAUGGAAGAGUCAAGUGUUCAUUAACUCUACAGUUGAUUGAGCGCUCAGUUUUUCCAAUAUAUAUUUUCUUGCAUGAAUUACAAUCUAAACGAUUGAGGGAGGUGUUGUAAAGAGAUAAUCCUGCCACUGCUGGGAACACUGUCAUGUCAUCAUUGUGUAUGUGUGUGUGCACAUAUUUUCUAUAUAGCUCAUGUCCUUGAAAAACCAUAUGUGCCUUGUCCGUCAUGAAACUUUGCUUUAAUACAAAAGUUCAUCAUUCCGAUUUCA